UACGUAGGGUGCAAGCGUUGUCCGGAUUUAUUGGGUUUAAAGGGUGCGUAGGCGGCCCGUUAAGUCAGUGGUGAAAGCCUCCAGCUCAACUGGAGAACUGCCAUUGAUACUGACGGGCUUGAGUACAGACGAGGUUGGCGGAAUUGAUUGUGUAGCGGUGAAAUGCAUAGAUACAAUCAAGAACUCCGAUUGCGUAGGCAGCUAACUAGGCUGUAACUGACGCUGAGGCACGAAAGCGUGGGGAGCGAACAGG
rnacentral:rRNA from 1 species